rnacentral:rRNA from 1 species
CCCUUAGAUGUUCUGGGCCGCACGCGCGCUACACUGAUUCAUGCAACAAGUUUUGUCCUUGGCUGAUAGGCCUGGGUAAUCUUUGAACGUGAAUCGUGAUGGGGAUAGAUGAUUGCAAUUAUUCAUCUUCAACGAGGAAUUCCUAGUAAACGCAAGUCAUCAGCUUGCAUUGAUUACGUCCCUGCCCUUUGUACACACCGCCCGUCGCACCUACCGAUUUCGAGUGGUUCGGUGAACCUUUCGGACCGGCAAUGCCUCGUGUUGCGCCGGAAAGUCAAGUAAACCAUAUCACUUAGAGGAAGGAGAAGUCGUAACA